rnacentral:piRNA from 1 species
UCACAGAUGUAUGUCCUCAAGUCGCCC